CAUUUUGGGCUCUUGGCAUCUGACCGGCAUUGACGGCCAUUUGCAUUAUUCACAAGACCAUGGUUAUACUGACCAGUUUCCGGUCUUUACUUCCGACUUCUGGCGAAUAAGCGCCCAUUAAGAAAAACAGAUUCAUUUUAUGACUGCCAUGUCACCGCCACAAAACAAGGUCGUGAAAUCAGUCACAUGGUGAAUGGCUUAACAACCGCCAUGAUUUGUGACCAUAACUCUAGUUAUGGUCAUAAGUCGAGGAUUAACUAUUAGGUUUUGGUUCACUGCGUUGCGUAGACCGCUCCACUUGGGAUAAACAGGAUUAAGUCUAGGCCAACCAGCAGAUGAAGACGGGCCCCUUCCCUGAGCACUCCAACCAGCUGUGGAACAUCAGCGCCGUCCCUUCGUGGUCCAAAGUCAACCAGGGGCUCAUCCGGAUGUACAAAGCCGAGUGCCUGGAGAAGUUCCCCGUCAUUCAGCACUUCAAAUUCGGCAGCCUGCUUCCUAUCCAGCCUGUCGCACCUUAAGGAGCUCUGUUGGUGAUGGGACCGCGGAAGGGGGGGGGGGGCCCUGGGGAGCAGGGGGGGGGGAAGGCUCCCCUUCCUAGUCACCCCAAAACCCCGCUGGCCUUGAUGCUCCUUCCUUUCGGCAGGACCCAGGCAGGACAUAACUGUCCAAGAAGACCCUGGCAUUGGCACAAAAAACCAAAAAAAAAAAAAAAAAAGGCAAGAGGUGGACUUGACUCCGGCCACACGAUGGUCCCCUCUUCUUCACCCCAUUUUUGUUUGCCCCAGGGUGGUUGGUGCUCUUAAGGUUGGGAGUGGGGGGGUAGUUUGCCUCUCUGAACUGUGCUGUAUAUUUUGCUGGGGAAAUACACUUGCUUUAAACUUAGAGACAAGCUGGACGUGCUGGCAUUCUUCCCAAGACUCCCUUCCCAAUCCUUCCACUUCUUGGCCCUGAUCCCCUUGGACAAAGAUCUCCAAACCUGGCCACUUUAAGACUUUUGGACUUCAACUCCCAGAAUUCCCCAACCAGCACGUGUUGUCUCCACUUGGGGAAACCACGUUUGAAGGGUUCAGAACAGACAAAGGGCAAAUUCAGAGAAAAGCAGCAAAAAAAGCAUUAUCUCUUGGUAGGAUACAUCAAGAAAAGGUUACAGAUUUAGAGUCCCAGAUUCUGCUCAGCGCCUGGUGAAAUUGACUAGACAGGAAGGUGAAAUUGACUAACUCUUGCUCUUUGUAAGAUCUAGUUCUGGAAAUUGACCUUGGGCUCGGUUUCAAUUCGGCAGGGGUCCUAGAUCUCGUGCAAUCUGCUUUUCCUUGAAUUUUGCUUCUUCCAAGUCACGAUUUGCAAAAAAUAACCUACAUCUAAAUAAGAGAACGGUGGUUAGACGCGAAGCCUCUUUGCGGGGCAGAAAACGGACAAAACGGGAAAUAGCUAAAACGGAAAUAUCUAUGCCGGCUGGGGAUCUCUGGGAGUUGAAAUCCAUACACCUUAAAAUUGAGAAACACUGGAUUGAAGUUAACAAGGUUUUGCCAACCAAAACCACAGGAUCUGCAUACACAGAGCACCCCUAACAGAUCAGGGGAAGACGGUCGCAUUCACACCAAAAACCUAAAGCACGCAGGCGAGGGAAUUAUGGGAAUUGACACCCACGCAUCUUUUAAAAACCCACCAAGAUUGAGAAACCCUGCUCCACACAAUGGCAGCCUCUUUAUUUUGAAAGCGUGGGUUGUCUCCCCCACUCCCCCACGCCAGCUUCCCAGCCACUUUUGCAAGCUGGAUAUUUAGCGAGGUGGGGGGAAAUUCCCUCUUGGACCCCCCCCCCCAAGGAACCAUGAAACCCGGUCCUUAAAAGGGAGUUGGGUGAGAAGGGGCAUCUGGUAAGCUUGAUCUGAAAGCUUCGUGGCCAGAGCAGUUCCUACUCUCCAUCCCACCUGGAGAAACCCAAGAGUAACUCUGUGCGUUGAGAGAUUGGCUAAGAUUUUUCCUUUUUCCACGUGGACCAGAGAGUUCUAGAUCUCCACACAAAGGAAGGGCGAAACGCUUCACCCCACCACCAAUUUUAAUAUUGUCCAUCGCUUUCGCCCACACCUUGAAAACAUUUUGGUAAAAAAACAGCCCCCACCCACCCAAAAAAAACCCAAAACACAACUCCA